rnacentral:tRNA from 1 species
AAGGGUAUAGCUCAGUGGUAGAGCGUGUGCUUAGCAUGUACAAAAUCCUGGGUUCAAUCCCCAGUACCUUCA